GAUGAACGCUGGCGGCGUGCUUAACACAUGCAAGUCGAACGAGAGAAGAUUGGUGCUUGCACUGAUCCGAUCGAGUGGCGGACGGGUGAGUAACGCGUGGGUAACCUGCCUCAUACAGGGGAAUAACAGUUGGAAACGGCUGCUAAAACCGCAUAAGCGCACAGUAUCGCAUGAUACAGUGUGAAAAACUCCGGUGGUAUGAGAUGGACCCGCGUCUGAUUAGCUAGUUGGUGAGGUAACGGCCCACCAAGGCAACGAUCAGUAGCCGGCCUGAGAGGGUGAACGGCCACAUUGGGACUGAGACACGGCCCAAACUCCUACGGGAGGCAGCAGUGGGGAAUAUUGCACAAUGGGGGAAACCCUGAUGCAGCGACGCCGCGUGAGUGAUGAAGUAUUUCGGUAUGUAAAGCUCUAUCAGCAGGGAAGAUAAUGACGGUA
rnacentral:rRNA from 1 species